rnacentral:rRNA from 1 species
GAUAAUCUCGGGAAACUGAGGAUAAUACCCCAUAGUCCACCUAUGCUGGAAUGCUUGGUGGACCAAAGCUCCGGCGCUUCAGGAUGGCACUGCGAACUAUCAGGUAGUAGGGAGGGUAACGGCCUCCCUAGCCUACGACGGAUACGGGCGUUGAGAGACGUCGCCCGGAGAUGAACUCUGAGACACGAGUUCAGGCCCUACGGGGCGCAGCAGGCGCGAAAACUUCGCAAUGCUGGAAACAGCGACGGGGUAACUCCAAGUGCCGGCACUAAGUGUCGGCUGUUCCAUUGUCUAAAAAACAUAGGAAGUAAGGGCUGGGUAAGACGGGUGCCAGCCGCCGCGGUAAUACCUGCAGCCCGAGUGGUGGCCGUUAUUAUUGGGCCUAAAACGUCCGUAGCCGGUUGGGUAGAUGCCUGUGUAAAUCGAACGGCUUAACCGUUCGAAUUGCGGGUAGACCGCCCGACUAGGGACCGGGAGAGUCACGAAGUACUCCGGGGGUAGAGGUGAAAUUCUGUAAUCCUCGGGGGACUACCGGUGGCGAAGGCGUCGUGAUAGAACGGCUCCGACGGUGAGGGACGAAGCCCUGGGGCGCAAACCGGAUUAGAUACCCGGGUAGUCCAGGGUGUAAACGCUGUGGUCUUGGUGUCGGCAGUCCUACGGGGGCAGCCGGUGCCGGAGAGAAGUUGUUAAGACCACUGCCUGGGGAGUACGGCCGCAAGGUUGAAACUUAAAGGAAUUGGCGGGGGAGCAC